UGGCGGCAUGCUUUACACAUGCAAGUCGGACGGCAGCAUAAAAGAGCUUGCUCUUUUGAUGGCGAGUGGCGAACGGGUGAGUAAUGCAUCGGAACGUACCGAGUAGUGGGGGAUAACUGUCCGAAAGGAUGGCUAAUACCGCAUAUUCUCUGAGGAGGAAAGCAGGGGACCUUAGGGCCUUGCGCUAUUUGAGCGGCCGAUGUCUGAUUAGCUAGUUGGUGGGGUAAGAGCCCACCAAGGCGACGAUCAGUAGCGGGUCUGAGAGGAUGAUCCGCCACACUGGGACUGAGACACGGCCCAGACUCCUACGGGAGGCAGCAGUGGGGAAUUUUGGACAAUGGGCGCAAGCCUGAUCCAGCCAUGCCGCGUGUAUGAAGAAGGCCUUCGGGUUGUAAAGUACUUUUGUCAGGGAAGAAAAGCCUGAGGAUAACACCCUCAGGUCAUGACGGUACCUGAAGAAUAAGCACCGGCUAACUACGUGCCAGCAGCCGCGGUAAU
rnacentral:rRNA from 1 species